rnacentral:lncRNA from 1 species
GUGAAUUCUGUUUUGGUCUCCAGGAGGUCAGCUGUGACAAUUAUUGACCUUUUUGUUCAUAGUGCGUGCUGUCCUGAUGGCUCAGGAGCCCUCAGGCUUGCUGGGAGCAGCAGGAAGAAAGAAUGUGUUUAACUUGCAAGGUGCUUAGAAGGGCUGCAAAUAGCUCCUCACUGUCACACCAUGCAUGUCUUGCCUGGUGCUAUGGGAACUCCAUGGGAACCCUGGUGACCAUCGUCUGUGCCCAUGACAACAGCUUUUGGUGUCACUGCUGCAGGGUGACACAGAGCCUGGGGGCUGUGAUGGAGGUGGAGCUGAGCAGCCUGAGACUUCUGGAAAUCAAAGCUGGCUGUACCUGACUUAAUUAAAGCAACCAGGUGGACAGACCUCAGCUCAGAGGAGGGACAGUGUUUUCCUUGGCCCCAUUGAAACCACAUGUUUGUUACCACUGACAGAUUUAGCUGUGACCUGUUGUGCCCAUGGCACCGUGGUUUGCUGGAAGAAAACCUUUAAGUGCCACAGGAGAAGGGCUGGGUGAUGUUUGCACAACACCGGUGUCUGCAAAAGCAAAUAGAAGUCUGUGACCAUUUAUUUGAAUAAAAAGAGUGAGCCACUGUGGUAAAAGACCA